ACGAAGGGUGCAAGCGUUACUCGGAAUUACUGGGCGUAAAGCGUGCGUAGGUGGUUCGUUAAGUCUGAUGUGAAAGCCCUGGGCUCAACCUGGGAAUGGCAUUGGAAACUGGCGACCUAGAGUGCGGUAGAGGGUAGUGGAAUUCCCGGUGUAGCAGUGAAAUGCGUAGAGAUCAGGAAGAACACCGGUGGCGAAAGCGCUCUGCUAGGCCUGUACUGACACUGAGGGACGAAAGCUAGGGGAGCGAAUGGGA
rnacentral:rRNA from 1 species